rnacentral:rRNA from 1 species
AUGUCAAAUGGAUCUCUUGAUUGUCAUAUAUUUAAAAGUGGUGACGUUGUCCUAAAUUGGGAAACAAGGUACCAGAUAGUCCUCGGAAUUGCUAAAGGCUUGUCCUACUUGCAUCAGAGUUGCCGCGAGUGCAUCAUACACUGUGAUAUUAAGCCAGAAAACAUACUUCUCGAUGCAUCACUUUUCCCCAAAAUUGCAGACUUCGGGAUGGCAACAUUUAUUGGAAGGAAUUUUAGCCGAGUCCUUACCACAUUCAGAGGAACAAUAGGUUAUCUUGCCCCGGAGUGGCUUAGUGGAAUUGCUAUCACACCAAAAGUUGAUGUUUACAGCUUUGGCAUGGUAUUGUUCGAGAUCAUAUCAGGAAGGAGAAAUUCUCCUCAAGAAAAUAGUGGCACCAGUGAUCUUGUUGAAUAUUUUCCUAUCCAAGUCAUCAGCAAGCUUCAUGGGGAAGACAUGCAGAGUUUGGUGGAUCCACGGUUACAAGACAUAUUUGAUUUGGAACAAGCUAAAAGGGUAUGCAAAGUUGCAUUAUGGUGCAUCCAAGAUAAUGAGUCUCAGCGGCCCACAAUGAGUGAAGUGGUUCAGGUUCUUGAGGGUCUCACCGAGAUUGAUCUGCUUCCGAUGCCAAGACUACUUGCAGCUAUAACUGAACACCCUAAUGGAACUGAAACUUCAGUGUAA